ACUUGCUUAUUCUCACUGUUCUGAUUUUGGAGUAAUCAGGGCGGGCUAAACAUUCACUCUAAGACCAUGCUAAUGUUCCCAGAUCUAGUUCUUUACGUAUCUAGGUCUGGUCUUAGAAAUGCUAGUGACAAAU